rnacentral:rRNA from 1 species
ACGAACGCUGGCGGCGUGCUUAACACCUGCAAGUCGAACGGAAAGGCCCUGCUUGCCGGGUACUCGAGUGGCGAACGGGUGAGUAACACGUGGGUGAUCUGCCCUGCACUUCGGGAUAAGCCUGGGAAACUGGGUCUAAUACCGGAUAGGAGCCAUUUUUAGUGUGAUGGUUGGAAAGUUUUUUCGGUGUAGGAUGAGCUCGCGGCCUAUCAGCUUGUUGGUGGGGUAAUGGCCUACCAAGGCGGCGACGGGUAGCCGGCCUGAGAGGGUGGACGGCCACAUUGGGACUGAGAUACGGCCCAGACUCCGACGGGAGGCAGCAGUGGGGAAUAUUGCACAAUGGGCGCAAGCCUGAUGCAGCGACGCCGCGGGGGGGAUGACGGCCUUCGGGUUGUAAACUCCUUUCGCUAGGGACGAAGCUUUUUGUGACGGUACCUAGAGAAGAAGCACCGGCUAACUACGUG